CAGAUAAGAUUACAAACCUGCUGCCAGUCCCUCUUUUUUAUAUACAUGCCUUACCCACAGAUAAUCCUACACUUUAGCACAAUAUGCUAUGAUUUAAUAUUUCUAAUUCUCUUUAACUACACAGGGCUAACCCAUUGGGGGCACUCUGCAGGCACCGGCUCCCCUGAUCCUCGGAGGGCGUCCACUGUGCAGCUCCUUGCAACCCCCCUGGGGUCUGUUUUGGUUUCCCUCUCUCCCCCCUGGGGUUGUGGGUGGCGCUCCCUUCGGAUUUUCUAACGGCUCUGCACAUCUCUGGUCAUUACAAAACUCACUUCAUUCGUUAACGAAUCAACCAUCCCCCUGAAGAGACCACUUAGAGGUCGAAACGCGUCGGGGAACGCACAUCACACAGCAUAAAGCAAUGUUGUAUACAUUUGUCCAAUAUUGUGGAAUAUGUAUUGUAUCACCAGAUCCGGAAAGGGUUUUCUUUUAAUUGUUAUUGCAUUUAAAAUGUAUGUUAUUGACAACCAUAAAAUAAACCAUGUUUUAUUAUAUUA